AGCGGACAGAGCCUUUACAAGAUUUAGAUAGGAUAUUGUCAAAGGUUCGUUUGAUAGGAUUUUUAUUUUAUUUAUUUAUCUAUUUAUUUUUGUGUGCGUGUAUGUGGAAUAUUUUCAAAGUCAUUUCUUGAUGGUAGUAUAUUUGUUUUAAUUUAGAUGCAGGUGUUACUAAAGUUCUCACUAGUACUGCAAUGUUAGCAAAACAUUUUAGAGAGAGAGAGAGAACCUAACUUGCUUAAAAUUGAAAGUUUUGAAACGUCAAUGAGCUGUGUCAUAAAUUUGGAAUUUAUAUCAUAAUAUUGUGUUAUGCUAGCUGUAGGUGCGAUGGUACACACUUGGUAUGUUUUGAGGAUGUGGACAGUGUAGAUUUUAAAAUAAUUUUGAUAUGCACAGAUCUGGAAGAUCUUUGUAGUGUAGAUUUUAAAAUAAUUUUGAUAUGCACAGAUCUGGAAGAUCUUUGUUUUCAAAAACCAAACACUUCAAUGUUAUUGCUAGUUAUACCUAGUUGAUAUGUUUCCAUAAAGCAAAGAGGAUUUAGUGGAUUUGGUAAUGUGCAUUUUUGGAUGAUGAAGAGUUGUGGCAGGUUAGAGCUGAAUUAGAAGAGCAAUGGGAAAAUGACAAAGUACAAGGAUGGGAGAAGGAUUUUAAAGAAAAUGGGCAAGUUCCAGUUCAGUAUAGGCCCUGACAAAAUAAAGGAGGAUGUGAGUCAUAGGAUUAAAGUUGGAUGGUUGAAGUGGAGACGUACCACGAGAGUUUUAUGUGAUCGUA
rnacentral:misc_RNA from 1 species